UUCGAUUCUGGUGACGUGGCA
rnacentral:siRNA from 1 species